UACGAAGGGGGCUAGCGUUGUUCGGAAUUACUGGGCGUAAAGCGCACGUAGGCGGACUAUUAAGUCAGGGGUGAAAUCCCGGGGCUCAACCCCGGAACUGCCUUUGAUACUGGUAGUCUCGAGUCCGGAAGAGGUGAGUGGAAUUCCGAGUGUAGAGGUGAAAUUCGUAGAUAUUCGGAGGAACACCAGUGGCGAAGGCGGCUCACUGGUCCGGUACUGACGCUGAGGUGCGAAAGCGUGGGGAGCAAACCGG
rnacentral:rRNA from 1 species